ensembl:lincRNA
UCGCUGGGAACACCUCUACCAGCAGCAGGAAGAGACAAUGAGGGAACACAAGAUGAUGAUGGUGGAUUGGGAGGAGAAAAUACUGCAGGAGGAACUAAAGAUGCGGGAGCAGGAAGAGACAAUGAGGGAACACAAGAAGAUGGUGGAUUGGGAGGAGAAAAUACUGCAGGAGGAACUAAACAUGCGGCAGCAGGAAGAGACAAUGAGGGAACACCAGCGGAUGAUACAAAGGCGAGAGGAGAAGAUUCAGGAGGAGGAACAGAAGAUUCAGGAGGAGGAAAAGAAAAGGCUGUGGGAUGCGAAGGAACAACUGAGGGAGCAGGAGAAGAAAAUACAGCAGAAGAGACAAUGAGGGAACACAAGAAGAUGAUGGUGGAUUGGGAGGAGAAAAUACUGCAGGAGGAACUAAACAUGCGGCAGCAGGAAGAGACAAUGAGGGAACACCAGCGGAUGAUGCAAAGGCGAGAGGAGAAGAUUCAGGGACGGGAAAAGAAGAUUCAGGAGCAGGAGGAAAAGAUUUGGGAGGAGAAGAGGCGUCAGGAGGAGAAAAAGAUUCAGCAGGAAAAGAAGCGGAGGGAGCAGGAGAUGUGGGAGAAGGAGGGGAGGCAGGAGCAAGUGGAGAAGAGGGGAGAGCAGGACGACAUGAUGUGGGAGAAGAACAUGUGGGAGGAGUACAGGCUGUGGAAAUAGGAGAAGACAAUGCAGGAGUAGAAUUGUAAAAUACUGGCUGGGUGCGGUCGUAAAAUACGGUUAAUAUCAAAUUUACCAUUUUAAUAAAAGUUAUUUUAAAGUUUCUACCUGAGGACUCUCAUAUCUAUGUAUGUUUCUAUUGUCUUUUUUAUCUCUUGGUCUUUCUCUUUUAGUCUUGCCUGAUGGCAUGCCUAGUAAACUUUCAUCUGCCUCCAGAGUGUAUUGACUUUGACUCUAUGGCACACAAUCUGAGUAAGGGCAGAUCACUUUCAUCUAAUUUGGGACACUAAGCUGGUUCAAAGCAGAUUUUAGGUUUUGUGACAGCUGGUCUAAUUUUUAUCCAUUUGGGCUCCUAGGGGCGACCCUUCCAGGGUCACCACCAAGGCCCCAACUCCUUACUGGGACCCAAGUUCUCAUGAAGUCAUUUGAGCCCUGUGAGAGUGCCAGACAUUCAGCUCGGCUUUCCAGCCUCUUAACUAUGCCUUCAUAGUCGGUUUCUUAGCCUCUUGGCCCUAUGCCGUUUACCAGUCACCAAAUGUGGGGAAAAGACCUACAGACUGUCGGGGCCACCUCCAAGGCCAGGUCACUCAAGUCCUCGCUGAGGUCUCUAGUUACCUUCCAACAAUUGUUUUUCGUGGGGGUGGGGGCACAGUUUUUCUAACUGUCCAGUUUCUCUAACUGUUCUUGUGAAGAGAAGUUGAAAAUCUCCUCCUGUCUUUAUUUAUUUAUUUAUUAUUUUUAACAGAGUCUCACUCUGUUGCCCAGGCUCUAGUGCAGUGGUGUGAUCUGGGCUCAAUGUAACCUCGGACUGCUGGGUUCAAGCAGUUCUCCUGCCUCAGCCUCUCCAGUAGCUGGGAUCACAGGUGUGUUGGCACUGCCUGGCUAGUUUUUGUAUUUUUAGUUCCACCGUGUUGGCUAGGGUGAUCUCGAGCUUCUGACUCAGGUGACCUACCUGCCCUGGCCUCCUAAAGUGCUGAGAUGAUAGGUGUGCACCACCAUCUCUUUUAAUAAAUGUUUUUGGCUGGGUGCGGUGUCUGAUGCCUGUAAUCCCAGCACUUUGUGAGGCUGAGGCANNNNNNNNNNNNNNNNNNNNNNNNNNNNNNNNNNNNNNNNNNNNNNNNNNNNNNNNNNNNNNNNNNNNNNNNNNNNNNNNNNNNNNNNNNNNNNNNNNNNCGCUGCCGUCCCGUGGAGUCGCCGCCUGCUCCGAAAGCAGUCCACGUAACUGGACAACUACAGGUUCCUUUACACAAGUCCAAUAAUCACAUCUUCUUUAUAUACUCACAGUGAGGCUUUUUUAUUUUUUAGAAGGCAGCCUUUCAAACGUGUUUAUUAGAAUGCACGCUGACUCUGCUAUAAUUUAAAGAAAACACAGCUAUGCUGACAUCCACUGCCCUCAUUACCAUGUGUUUCUUCCCCAAAGUUUUGUCAAACUUUCAAAAAAUCCUUUUCCAAAUAGUUAUUCACAGCUAACUGCCCAUCAGACCAAGGUCCCCAGGCUUUUAGAGACACUUCCAUUGUGAAAUGGACGGCAGCCCCCACCCCAGCCACCAGGCCACCCACCACUGGCCACGGCAGUGUGUGAGCAGCAGCGCCCCCACGUCUUUGCCACUGUCCUGCUGGUCUGAGUAUACCCCUGAGGAUCGACAGGCUCUCCCACAGACACUGCCCCACCAUGAGCAGAUCCAGGGCAGCAGGGUAGAAAUGGACUCUCUUCUAGGGUGGGAGUAGGGGAGUCUUCUGUGAAACAUCAGUGGCCAAUCAGCCCUCAGAAAGACUUCACUCCUGAGUCUGAGGGGUGAGCAUAAGAGUGGCCGGAGCAUUCACACAACAUGCUUCAUAACUGGACCAGUGAAGUGCUCAGCCACCAUUAGAACUGCAAGGCACCCACCCCUCCCACCCCCUCGCUUCAGCAUCUGCGAGGCCUCUACCAGGAGGUUCCUUGCUCUCAGGCCCCUCUGCUCCCUUCUCUGGGACAGCCAGGGUCCUACCUGCUCGUGAGGCCACUUCGGCCUCUCCUCUGGGGUCCUGGUGUUGGGAUUGAAGCCUCUCUGGGGAUCUCCGCGGUGCUUGGCCUUGGAAGGGAGGUUCACAGUGACUUGGCCCUUGUCUCGUGCCUGCUGGGGCCUUGCUGGCAAGGCAGGCCUCUGCAGAAUCCCCAGGCCCUGGCUCAGGCCCAUGCUCAGGGCCGGCCUCAUUGGCGCUGGUGAUGCUCAUCGUGCUCAGGCUCAUCUUGAUUGCGGCCACGAUCUGGUCGAUGUCCUCCUCCUGGUCCUCCAGGUCCCCAUCCCCACACCUCAGGCAAUAGGGGGAGGUGCCAGUGUUCCCGUUGGCCUCUGCCAGGUAGUAGUCCUGGGGACAGUGAGGGCCAUCUUCUUCCUGGUCACGGGCCUCUAGGACGGAGGGCUCAAACUCCCGGAUGGGCAGGUAGUGAUCCAGGUAGUCCUGGCUGCCUUCAGCCCUGUGGCCCUGGGGGUGUGGGCCUGCCGAGUCCGUCCAUUACUCCACUGAUGGCCUCCUGGCACUCGUCGCCAUCCACUGCAUGCACGCUGUGUGGGCCAGGUACUCCUCUCCGUUGCAGUCCAUGCCCUCCAGGUAGCCGUCAUCCUCGGGGCAGUAGUGGACUUAGUAGGUGAUGCCCUCUCCUCCUCCUCAGAAGGGCCCUCGUCAUAGUCCUCCCUCCCUGGAGGUGUUGUUCAUGUAGUUGGAGCUGGAGUCCCCAUCGGGGCUGUGGUUGUCGCACUCCUGUUCUUUGGGCAUGGAGCUCUCUGGCCACAGGGUGGCCAGCUCCAGGCCCUCAGGUACAUGGCCUCCAAUGGCAGCUCCACGUCCUUGCUCUUGGGCUCCUGGCACUGUGGGACCAGGCCUGGCCUUGCCCUGUGGUCCAACAUGCCGCUCCCCACACUCUCACACUUCUGGUGGGCCAUGGUGGGCACUCACACAGUCGUCAUCUCCCGGAGGGAACCACAGCAGAAAGGAACACUGGGAAG